ACGGGAGGCAGCAGUGGGGAAUAUUGCACAAUGGGGGAAACCCUGAUGCAGCGACGCCGCGUGAGUGAAGAAGUAUUUCGGUAUGUAAAGCUCUAUCAGUAGGGAAGAAAAUGACGGUACCUAACUAAGAAGCCCCGGCUAACUACGUGCCAGCAGCCGCGGUAAUACGUAGGGGGCAAGCGUUAUCCGGAUUUACUGGGUGUAAAGGGAGCGCAGACGGCAAAGCAAGUCUGAUGUGAAAUGCGGGGGCUCAACCCCUGAACUGCAUUGGAAACUGUUUAGCUAGAGUGCAGGAGAGGUAAGUGGAAUUCCUAGUGUAGCGGUGAAAUGCGUAGAUAUUAGGAGGAACACCAGUGGCGAAGGCGGCUUACUGGACGAUAACUGACGUUGAGGCUCGAAAGCGUGGGGAGCAAACAGGAUUAGAUACCCUGGUA
rnacentral:rRNA from 1 species